UCCCUGGUGGUCCAGUGGUUAGGAUGCUGUGCUUCCACUGCAGGGGGCACAGGUUUUAUCCCUGGCCAGGGAA
rfam:TPA: Bos taurus chromosome 17, whole genome shotgun sequence.